rnacentral:rRNA from 1 species
UACGAAGGGGGCUAGCGUUGCUCGGAAUUACUGGGCGUAAAGCGCACGUAGGCGGCUUUCUAAGUCGGGGGUGAAAUCCUGGAGCUCAACUCCAGAACUGCCUUCGAUACUGGAAAGCUCGAGUCCGGGAGAGGUGAGUGGAACUGCGAGUGUAGAGAUGAAAUUCGUAGAUAUUCGCAAGAACACCAGUGGCGAAGGCGGCUCACUGGCCCGGUACUGACGCUGAGGUGCGAAAGCGUGGGGAGCAAACAGG